GCAGUUGGGAGACAGUUUCCAGGCUAAAGGACUGUUGGGGGAGUGAGAAGGCUGCUGGAGAGUGAUGGGUCCAGGGGACAGCUUUGGUCUCAGAGGAUGGGAGGAAAGGUGGUGCUGUGAGCCACAAGAGGGGAGCUGGGAGGGCUGACUGGUUUGAGAUGGGGAAAACAGGAGAUUGAGGGAGCAAGUCAAGCGGCUGCAGAGGCUACCAAACCGGUGUAAAGUCCCCGAAGCCCUGGGAAGAGCAGGUUUUAAGAAGUAGAAGGGCGUCGUCGUGAUUUCAAGCAGCUGCUAGAUGCCAGAUAUUGGCUGGCUGUGGGCCUCUGAGGAGCACAGAGCCGGGCCUGGUAGAAGUCUGGGUGGACAGCUUUGGUGGCCGCAGAUGCACAGGUGAUGUGUCUCGGAGCUGACUUGCUGACUCCACCGAUCGGCUGCUGGUGUGGAAGGCCACGUUCACAGAUUCGCACAAGAGGGGUUGUCAGAUCAGAAGACCCGUUCCGCCUUCCUGAAGUGAAGCUUACAUGGAUGCGAUGUUAAUGGGAAGCACCCAUCUAAAGUCUCAGGAACGAGUUCUGUGCUGUACCCAGAUAGAGAUGUCUACUCUCCUCCAUUCUGAUGAUAUUGGAGACAAGGAAUCCACAGAGAAAAGGAGCACGCUGAGUCAAGAGGACAAAGGGCCGGCACCCUCCACGAAAAGGGACUUCGAGAAGACAGCUAUGCUAUUAGCAAGGAGCCAAGGAAGGAACCCCAUAUAUCAACCUGGAGCUUGAGACCCCUCCUCCCCUCCCCCUGCCCCACCGCCGAUUCAAUGUGGCAUCAAGAAUCUUAGCAGCGUGAAGGGACGGGCUGCACGGUUUCCAGGUCUAGAAGUUCUGCUUGGAGCCGAGGACGGCUUUCGCGAGCUGCAGUUGUCUCAGGAGUGGUGAGAAAUAUUGAGGUUGGGUCUCACCAGCCUGUUCCUCAGGAACAUCAAACACGCGUCUGCUCAGAAACCGUAUCUAUCUCCUGCACCAUCAAAAGGGAAUGUGGGUCUGCCAGGUGGAAACAACCCAAGUGGCUGUUGACGGGUGAGCAGAAAAAAAGAUGGUAUAGACACGCAAUGGAGUAUUACUCAGCCUUAAAAAGGAAGGACAUUCCAACACAUGCUACAACAUGGAUGAACCUGGAGGACAUUAUGCUAAGUGAGGUCCUUCAGCAGGGCAUCCAGCUCAUUCUCAUCAAUGUAGCCACUCCCGUCCUGGUGAUGGGGAGCAGAGGAGAGGCAGCACAGAGCUCUAGAACUCAGGCCCCGCAACCCCUGACCUUGCCUCCCCAUUCCCCCAACUCUUCCCGGGAGGCUGCAGAGUCUAACCUUCCCUUUACUCUGUGCAGAAGGUGUUCACACCGUGCGGUGCCAGGAUGACACCUAACUGCUGACUUUACCAGUCAAGGCAGGAACAGGACAUUUUGGGGCAAA